GUCUGUGUUAGUCUGGAAGCUCCACUGAAACCUGUCCAUCAUGGGUGACCCUGCUGGUAUUUGAAAUCCUGGUGUCAUAGGGUUCAGCAUCACAGCAACAUGCAGCCACCAUAGUAUUACAACCUACAGAUGGUGGUGUGCUUCCCUGACUGGGAAAUGAACCCAGCUGCAACAGUGAGAACGCCAAACCUUAACCACUAGACCAUCAGAGUAGGCCAUUCAUACACGAAAACUCAUGUUUUUCAGUCCUGGGAAAUUUUAUUAAAUUACUUCCUUGUUAUGUCCUCCACAUUUUAUCUUUUCUUUCACUCUAGAAUUCCUAUAUUUUAAGUCAGGGCUCUCAAAUUGAUCCUCCGACUUUUCCAUCAUUUUGUCAUUUCACAUAUUCUGGGAGAUUUCUUCAACGUUACCUUCUAACUCUUAAACUGAUGGUUUUUUCUAUUGUUCUAUUUUUACAUUACAAGAGUCCUGUCUGGCUUUCUCAUGUUAUUUUCUGGUUUGUUGUCUUUGUAGUUGUUGUUGUUGCUUUUAGUAAGGCUAUCCUAUUUUUGUUUUAUGGAUAUGCUAUCUGCUUUUACGUAUCUGAGAACAUGGAUCAUAGCUAUGUUUUUUGCUUCGUUUGUUUUAUCCUGUUUUAAUUUUAAAUUUUCUCUUGCUCCCCAUAUUAUUUCCAUAUUCUCAAAUUUACUUUUAUUCACUUUGGUUCAUUUUUGUCACUGUCAUUCAUGUUUGUGGCUUUUCUCAAUUGUGCAGUGAUCUUGGCUUAAUGGAAUAUUUAGGAUUGAGGCACUGAGAAACUAAAUGGGACUUCUGUGUGUGAAGGUGGAUUGUCAAUAAUUGAGUUCACUAUCAUAUAUCAGGGCCUGACCUUUUCACUGGGGGACAUCCAAAUGUCAGCAUCUAUAGAUCGUUUCUCUAGGGCCAGCCAACUUCUGCAGAGAAGAAUGUCCCAAUCUUCUGCCCUGCCAAGGACAGGCAGCACGUACCUGGCUACAAGCAUCCUUGAACUGCAAGGGCUGGGAGAUGGACAGGGGGAGCCAUAGGUUCUGACAUUUUAGGAUAUGGCCUUUCACUUCAUACCCCCAUUAUCAUUUAGGAAAAUUGCUCCUGCUCGUUACCAUGCCAACUGUUCCCAAAUCCAGAUUCUCAUAAGUUCGGUUUCUCUAGAAAAACCUCCUGCUUUCAGCAAGGAUUUAAAAGGCAUUCUGGGGAUCCAGCUGCCCCUAAUGAAGACCUUUAGUCACUCCUCCUGUAUCUCUGCUUUCAGGUACCUGGUGCCUCGAUUUCCUGAGGCUUUCUGUGGAGUCCUGCCGCAGGGACUGCUUGCUCCUUAUUGAAUUACCCCUCUACAAACUCUUAAUUUCAGCUUUUUCUACUCUACUCAGAUUUCUAUGCUUCCAUCUACAAAGAUAGAAAGUGUUCUAUCUUUCCAAAAUAUUGUUUAAUUUUGUCAUCUCUCACACUAUUUUUGUCCAUGUGAGUUUGAAGCCUUUUUUUCCCUAAAAGUGGUAUUUCCAGAGAUAUAAGCAGAUGUUCAAUUUGCCAUGUUUAAUAGAAAGACUCCAAAUUUCAGUCUAGGUCUUGGCAGAGAACAGACGACAAACUCCAGCUGGAUAACUGAGGAGAGUUUAACGAAGUGUCUACUAAGGAAAGUGUGGACAAGAAUGGCUUAGUACUCUGCUAAUGACAGACUAAUGGCUAAAGAUUAAAUGGAGCCAUUACUACCCCUAAGAAUAACGAACAAAAAGAAAGAGAAGUUACCAGAACCCAAAGAAAAAGCUGCAUGGAGAGAGCUGUUGAACGUGAGAUGUGACCCUAUGCUAGAUCGUCAAAAUGACCACAGUUCUUCACUUCUUCUCGUAUCCACACUGUUUGCAGUUCUGUAGUUCUUUUUACUAAAGGACAGAGUCUAUUUCCCCCAUCUCCUGACUAUGGGCUGAUCUUGUGUUAUAUUAGUCAACAUAAUGUAGCAGAAUUGAAGAUGAGGCAGUUUCAAGUGAAGAUGGGGCCUCAAGACACUUGGUGUGUGUCAGUUUGCUCUCUGGGAACCCUGCCCAGCUUCCAUGAGAAUAGCCUUGAGCUAGUUUGCUGGAUGAUAAGACACAAACAUCCCUAUCUCCGCUGUUGUCCCAACUGACAAGAGCCAACAGCCAAAUUUUGAAGUGAGGCCAUCCUACGCCAGCCAGUACUCAGCCAACCUACACACUGACUGCAGAUUCAAAAAUGAUGUGGCCAAGCCAGGCCAAGACCAGAACUAACCAACUGAACCAACAUAAUUUUCCACCCCACAGAAUCUCAAGCUGCAUAAAUGGUUGUUUAAGUCACUAGGCUGGGAAAUACUUUUUAAUGCAGCAAUAGCUGACUGAUAAAAGAUUUUAGUCAAGGGAAGCAGCCAACAUACAGUGACAAGGUAGGAAGGAAGUCAUAAGAAUAAAUGCUCUGACCUUACCCUUCCUGUCCUUCAGACCACCUGUGAGUGCCUCCUUUUCAUCUAACUGGAGAGUGAGAGAACCCAUUCAUGCAUUUCAGAUAGGUCAGCCUCCCGGUGCACAGAGCAGGAAGAAGAAGAUAGAGAGUAGACGUGGAAGGAUAAAAUAGAAGAGAUUGACCAUACUCACUCACCUAUUUUUAAGUUUGAAGAAUAUCUGGAGAUUUUGGCCAAAAUGUCUGCAGUUACAUUGGAGACUCCAAAAAGAGUCACAAAACAAGAUUUAGGAACAAAGAGUUUUUAGUCAAUAGUGAUAGGAAAUGGAUGGGAAGGAGUGUGUUUAUUCCAAAUAUAUUAAUACCAGUUCUACUUUCCUGUAUAGACUCAGGCCAAAGAUUAAUAUCUUGUACUGCCUUCCCAACAUAUAUUUAUAAUAAUGAAUUAUAAAUUAUACACAAGAGGUAGGAUCUGUUUAAAAUAUUGUGUCAGGCCUCAGUUAAACAAAAAUCCAGCCAAUCUAAACAAAAUUCAAAUAAACAGAAUUGCAAUCUCACUUAAUGUUUAAAGAAGAAAAAAAUAUGUGAGAAUAUUAAUCAGUUUGAAUCAGGUAUGGCUGCAAGCAAUAUAAAGCGUAAAAUAACAUGACUUAAAAUAGAACUUUAUUUCUCUCACGUACAUUGAAGUCUAGAGGUAAGCAGUUCAGGGCUAGACUGGCCUUUCCAAAACCCAGGCUCAUUCUAACUUAUUGCUUCACCAUUCUCAACCUGUGGCUUCCACAUCAGGGUCCCAAAUGACUGCAAGCUCCAGUCAUGGCAUCUGCGUUCCAGGCAGUCAGAAGAAGAGAAGGGAAUAAAAGAAGAGCAUAUCUCCUCAGUAUUGACACUUCCUUCAAGCUGCAUAUAUCUCUCCUACUUAACAUCCCAUUGUUCAGAGCUUAGCAACCUGAUGGCCCCUAGCUAUAAAUAAAGCUAAAAAGUGCAAACUUUAUUCUAUAAGGCCAUGCACACAUCUGAAAACUUGGGGCCUGGUAUAAGUGGAAAAAAGGAAAAACAGAUAAUAGGGAACAACCAGUAAGUAGUUUUUGCCUCAACCUUUAUUAAUUAAUGUUAAUUAUUUGCCCAAAACCCAGCUUCUAACAUCAUGUUAUAAUCGAUUCAUAGUCUGCUUCGCAGCCAACUUAUACACGUCUAUAGUCAAAUAUUCACUGAGGAUCAGAUUGAUGAUUCGGAAACUGUGAACAUCUUCAAUGAUCAAAGAUUCAAUUUUUUGUGUGACAUUGAUUUCCUAAGUCAGGAAUGUGGAGAAGAUGCUUUGUUUUGGUAAGAAUGUUCAGCAGUGUCUUCUAUUUUACCCACUGUAAAUAUUAGAGAUAAUUUUGCCUGAAAGUCAUAGAAUAGUGGCUUAAACUUUGUAGAAAUUUAUUUCUCUCAUGCACAAAAGUCUAGCAGUAUAUAUUCCAGGAUGUAAGAAUGGCUUCAUAAAGACAUGACAUACCCAGGGUCCUUCUUUCUUUUUCUCUGCCAUCCUCAUCCUGUGGCUUCCACCUAUGGUGCAAGACAUUUAUUCAAGUUUCACCUGUCACAUACAUAUUCCAGCUGGCAGGAAGUAAUCAGGAACAAGGACAGGUGCAUACCUGCUCCUUUAGUGGCAUUUCAUGGCCACAGAAGGGUGGUGGGCACGGGAAGUGGGUAGAGGAUCGGGAAGAGGUAGAAUAAAAUUCACCAAGUGUUGAUGACUGUUAGGCUGGGCAGUGGGUACAUAGAGAUUUAUUAUAUUAUUCUCUCUACUUUUGUCAAAGUUUGCAAUUUUUCACAAUAAAACAGGUAAAAAUUAAUAAAAUAAAAUGAAAAAUAUCAAAACGAUACCCCUGGAAGCUGCAAAUGGCUUCUCUUUACAUACCAAGAGCUAAACUUUAUCAUAUGCCCAUACUAGCUGUCAGGAAGGCCAGAUAACAUAGUCUUUGGUUCUUGGGUCCAUGUGCCCAGUUACAAAUAGCUUUAUUUUAUCACAUAAAAAGAAAGGGAGCAUCAAUAUUGGGAGACCACUGACAGCCUCCGCUAUCCUCCCAUAUAAAAGAAUGUGGGCCUAAAGUUAAUAAUUAACAUCUGUGUCUCUUAAUGCUCUCAAUAAAAUGAAGGUGGCAAUACUCUCCAGCAUGUAUAUAAAAUGAUGUAGUAACAGCAAAACCUGGGCCAGAGGACCUGACUGGUAGUAAACAUUUGAUUUAUGCUAACUUCUUUGACGACCAAAUGUCUUAUAUAUAAAUAUACAUAAACAGCACUUUGAUAAUACAGGUCACUUCACAAGUAUAAAAUAGUACUUACCCUCAUGAAUUAGAAACCUUUAUCCAAAAGCAAUGCUAUGUAUCAGGGUGUUAAUCAUCACACUACCUGAGCUUUCACUCGUUAUCUUUAACAGGAUCUCCAACACUGGAGUGCAUAAGAGUCUGCUAAGUGCUUGUACAAUACUCAGAUUCCUUGCUCCCACCCAAGACCUACUAAACCAGCAUUUUCCCGGGGGGGUUCCAAGAAUCUGUAUUUUCACAAGUAACCUUAACAUGUAAUUAAUUCCAAGGCAGUCAGUCUCCAGCAGAGGGAAAUGAGAAAGAGCAGGUAGCAUGUGUCCUGAGGUAUGAAGAUGCCAUUAGUAGAGUUAGAUUCAUUGAUCUUCAGAUUUGUUUUCCCAAGAAUGUAGAAACUGUUUUUGCUAUGAGUCUACUUCUCAGGAAAAUUCUAGCACAGCCUUGGGAGAGCAAGUGCAAGUCCAUGACAUUGCCCGUGGAGUGCCAUUUACCCUCCGCUGAAGUACUGGUCUCCAGAUUACACUGUAAGAAACACUGCCUUAAAAUAAAAGUACAGUCGUUUAACCCGAUCUCAUUGAAAACUCACUGUGAACAAUCUCACCCUUGACACUGGCUUACCGAUUCCUUAAUUUGCACAGAGAAUAUGUUGUGUGCAGUGAAGCCCUGUGAUGGAGGUGUAAGGGUGUAAAGUGACAAGAUGGGGGAAGAGGUAAGAUUGUAAUUCAAAAAUUAUUUACGAGCACAAAGAAGAGUCCUUAAGCCAAUCGUAAGAAAUAAGGCCAUUGAAGUUCUUCUUCAUACCUCUUCUCUGCACUGCCAGGUAUCAUUACUACCCAAGGAGCAUCUGACACAGCAUGCCCACCAGCCACACCUGCUUCCCUUCCAUUUGUGUUUCCACCACUCUCUGGGGAGGAAGAAAGCUGUCUAACCUGGUGACUCUGGAUGGGGCGUUCAGCAAACAGCAUUUCGUUUCUCAUCAAGUGAUUUCUUCCUAAGAAACCAUCACUGUUAUAAUAGCAAGUUGGUUGGAGGUGCAAAAGGAUGAAGGUGGACCCUUACCUCACAUCAUAUGCAAAAAUUAACUCAACAUGGAUCAAAGACCUAAAUGUUUAGAGCUAAAAUUAUAAAAGUCUUAGAAGAAAACAUAGGAGUGAAUCUUCAUGACUUCACUUUCGGUGAUGGAUUCUUACAUUUGGCACAAUCAACAAAAAAAUGUGGUCUCUUUACUGGAGCAAAUCAAUACCUACUAAAGAACCUGGUAUGCAGCACUGAUCUGGAAAAUGCUUGAUUUUCAAAACAUGAAGCAGAAAUCACCAGAAAGUUUAUUUUCACUAACUUCUUGCUUUAGGACUACAUCAACUAUCGAAACUUUUGCCAUAAUUUUGUUCACAAGGAUUUUGUGUCACCGUUUCAUAGAACAUCAUGCUGGUCCACUGUAUUGAUGAUAUCACAUGAAUAGAACCUGGUGAACCAGAAGUAGCCAGUCCCUAAAUGCCUUGAUAAGACAUAGUCGUGACUGCGGAUGGACAAUAAAUUCCAAGACGAUUCAACUUGGUGAACCUUCUGGAAGUCCAGUGGUCUAGACUGGAUAUCUUCCAAAGUGAAAGACAAUUUGCUCCAUGUUACAUCCUCCACCACUACAGAAAAGGCCCAGUACUUGGUUGAGCCUUCUGAAAUCAACACAUGGCAUGUUGGAUGUGUUGCUCUGAUUGAUUUACAAAGGAUGGAACUCUUUCUAGAGUCCAGAACAAGAGAAAGUCUCUAGCUGGUCCAGGCUACAGUGCCAGCAGCUCUGGCACUGGGUCCUUUUGGCUGAGAGGAUUUGUUGAUACUUGUAAUACCCAUGGAAAAUUGGAAUUUGUGAGUAAUCUUAUUUUGUGAAAAGUUCAACAAUGAUUUUUGGACAAAACAAUAUUAAUAUAUGUUUGAGAGUUAAAGAUACUUCAUCAUAAUGAUAUA